rnacentral:rRNA from 1 species
GACGAACGCUGGCGGCGUGCCUAACACAUGCAAGUCGAACGGAGUCACACCCAACACUGCGCGUUGGACAGGAAGCGGAAAAGGAGACGAGCCGUCGUUCUCCGGCUGUAGGCUGUAGUACCAACAUGGAGUGUCCCAACACGGAGUGUUGGGUAUGACUUAGUGGCGGACGGGUGAGUAACGCGUGAGUAAUCUGCCCUUGAGUGGGGAAUAACACACGGAAACGUGUGCUAAUACCGCAUAAGAUAGUAGCAUGGCAUCAUGCAGCUAUCAAAGAUUUAUCGCUUAAGGAUGAGCUCGCGUCUGAUUAGCUUGUUGGUAAGGUAAUGGCUUACCAAGGCGACGAUCAGUAGCCGGACUGAGAGGUUGAACGGCCACAUUGGGACUGAGACACGGCCCAGACUCCUACGGGAGGCAGCAGUGGGGAAUAUUGGGCAAUGGGGGCAACCCUGACCCAGCAACGCCGCGUGAAGGAAGAAGGCUUUCGGGUUGUAAACUUCUUUUAUAGGGGAAGAAACUGACGGUACCCUAUGAAUAAGCCACGGCUAACUACGUGCCAGCAGCCGCGGUAAUACGUAGGUGGCGAGCGUUGUCCGGAUUUACUGGGUGUAAAGGGCGCGUAGGCGGGAUUGCAAGUUAGGCGUGAAAUGCCAAGGCUCAACCUUGGAGCUGCGCUUAAAACUGUGGUUCUUGAGUGAUGGAGAGGCAGGCGGAAUUCCCUGUGUAGCGGUGAAAUGCGUAGAUAUAGGGAGGAACACCAGUGGCGAAGGCGGUCUGCUGGACAUUAACUGACGCUGAGGCGCGAAAGCGUGGGGAGCAAACAGGAUUAGAUACCCUGGUAGUCCACGCCGUAAACGAUGGAUACUAGGUGUGGGGGGACUGACCCCUUCCGUGCCGGAGUUAACACAAUAAGUAUCCCACCUGGGGAGUACGGCCGCAAGGUUGAAACUCAAAGGAAUUGACGGGGGCCCGCACAAGCAGUGGAGUAUGUGGUUUAAUUCGAAGCAACGCGAAGAACCUUACCGGGGCUUGACAUCCAACUAACGAAGCAGAGAUGCAUAAGGUGCCCUUCGGGGAAAGUUGAGACAGGUGGUGCAUGGUUGUCGUCAGCUCGUGUCGUGAGAUGUUGGGUUAAGUCCCGCAACGAGCGCAACCCUUACGUUUAGUUGCUACGCAAGAGCACUCUAGACGGACUGCCGUUGACAAAACGGAGGAAGGCGGGGACGACGUCAAAUCAUCAUGCCCCUUAUGUCCCGGGCUACACACGUACUACAAUGGCGGUCAUACAACGGGCAGCAAACCCGCGAGGGUAAGCCAAUCCCUUAAAAGCCGCCUCAGUUCGGAUCGCAGGCUGCAACCCGCCUGCGUGAAGUCGGAAUUGCUAGUAAUCGCGGAUCAUCAUGCCGCGGUGAAUACGUUCCCGGGCC